GACGAACGCUGGCGGCGUGCUUAACACAUGCAAGUCGAACGGAAAGGCCCUGCUUUUGUGGGGUGCUCGAGUGGCGAACGGGUGAGUAACACGUGAGUAACCUGCCCUUGACUUUGGGAUAACUUCAGGAAACUGGGGCUAAUACCGGAUAGGAGCUCCUGCUGCAUGGUGGGGGUUGGAAAGUUUCGGCGGUUGGGGAUGGACUCGCGGCUUAUCCGCUUGUUGGUGGGGUAGUGGCUUACCAAGGCUUUGAAGGGUAGGCGGCCUGGGAGGGUGACCGGCGACAUUGGGACUGCGAUAGGGCGCAGACGCCUACGGUAGGCAGCAGUGGGGAAUAUUGCACAGUGGGCGGAAGCCUGAUGCAGCAACGCCGCGUGCGUGAUGACGGCCUUCGGGUUGUAAACCGCUUUCGCCUGUGACGAAGCGUGAGUGACGGUAAUGGGUAAAGAAGCACCGGCUAACUACGUG
rnacentral:rRNA from 1 species